CGCCAGUGCACCUCCGCAUCCAGCCCUUCUUGCUCCGCCAUCUCCUCGCUGUCGCUGAGCCACACCCUGCACACACCUGCGAGGGCACGCCCACGUACAGGCACGGAGAGAUUGGGGCGGGGGGAGAAGGGGCAGCAACGCUCACCUUUGCCCCUUCCUUGCGCUCUCUCUUUCCUCGACCGUCAUCGACACAGCCACCAUCACCAACCGGUCGCCCUCGCCCUCCCCCAAGCCCGGAUACACAGACAGCCAUGUAUCCCGGCCUCCCGCGUGCGUUCCCGAACACGGAGUGGCAGACCGUGGCAGACAUCUUCCGCCGGCGCGCGCCGGUAAGCUUUCUCGCGCCGAACUCGAGCGCCCCCGCCACUGCCGAUCCCGCCGCGGCCGCGGAAGCGUGGGUACAGCAGGAAAUCGGCUACUACGAAGCGAACUACACAGCAGUGGAAGACCUGAACGUGUGCGUGACCACCUUCAAUGUUGGGUGCAAAAAACCGGCGCUGCCGCUGACCAGCCUCGCCUGCCUCACCAGCGGCGGUGGCGGCGCAGACGGCGCACCAGCGCGCCCGACGGACUUGAUCGUGGUCGGCUUGCAGGAGGUGGACAUGAGUGCGACGGCGCUCUUCAAGCAGGAGACGGAGGCUUCCGCGCCAUGGGUGGCGGGCCUGAACGCGGCUAUCGGCGCCGAUGGGAGCAACAGCACCGCGGCAUCCUCAUCUAGUGGCGCAGACGCCUCUCCUUACUAUGCCUUUCCACCAAAGCAGCUUGUCGGCCUGCUUCUCUGCGUGUUCAUCCGUCGGCCGCUGCUGUCUGCCGUGUCGGAGUCCAGCACGGCGACGGUGGCCACCGGUGCGCUGGGCUCUAUGGGCAACAAGGGCGCCGUGGGCUUUCAUCUUGUGCUUCACCGCACGUCCAUCUGCAUCAUUACGGCCCAUUUAGCAGCUGGGCAGUCCAACGUGAGCAAGCGCAACGAGGACAUCAACACCAUCUUCAAGAGCAUGGACUUCAACGCUGCCCGUCGCGCCGAGAUGCAGAUCAGCGCAAGCGCAAGCAUGCCAAUGGAUGAGUCUGCCUUUCUCGAACUCUACCCUCGCGACCACGACAUCAUCAUCGUGGCCGGAGACCUGAACUACCGCCUCCGACUCCCGUACGAGACCGCCGUGCAGUUAGCGAACGCGGGGCAGUUCAGCGAACUGCUGCAGUACGACGAGUUGGCAACCGAGAUGAAGAGCCCUCACACGCCGUGGCUGAACUUUAUCAACUUCACACCAACGCACAUGCCCACCUACCGCUUCGACGUUGGCACCGACGUCUACGAUACCAGCGAGAAGCGCCGCGUUCCCAGCUAUACGGACCGCAUAUGCGUGUGGUCGCGUCGCAAGUCGAUGGAGUCCCGCAUUCGACUGGACCGCCUCUCCGCCCUCAUGGAGGUGCGCAGCAGCGACCACAAGCCUGUACAGGCGCUCGCGCGGAUCCCGAUUAGCGUGGAGGUGCCGGCGCAGAAGGCGCAGGUGCUGUCGGCGCUGCGGGAAAAGGCCGCCGUCAUCGGCUUGGCGCAGGCGUCGAGUGCGAAGAUAUCGCUGAGCACGUCGAAGGUAAACUUUCAGGCCCAAAGCUUCCACCACUGCGGGACGCAGGAGACGGUCACGGUGCAGAACAACGGCGACUGCGUUGCUGUCGUGCGGGUGGUGCGGCAGCGCGAGGGGGACUACUCAGAAGGCACCUGGCUGCGCGCCACCCCGCUUGAGCUUGCCAUCCUUCCAGGCGAGUCGCAGGAUGUUCUUAUCGAGACGGCAAUCGACCCACGCUGCAUGACGUGGCUGGCCGCCUGGCGUCCGUACCAGGGCCGCGGUCGUGUCAGCCUCACCUCUGUGCUGCUCUGCUGCUGCCGCAACGGCCCAGUUCAGGCGGUGGAGUGCCAGUGUGUCCUGAGUCCGAGCGUCUUCGGCAACGGGCUGGACAGCAUUGCCCUCCUGCAGGACAAGCCGUGCGUGGAGGCGUACGCACAGAAGGCCGACUUUGAGGAGGUGGUGCGCCAGGUGCGGCCACAUGUGCCGAAGGAGCUGUGGUACCUCGCCCACGUCAUCGCGCAGCACCCACGCGAGGGCGGUCUCUUCACCCGCACCACGGACAAGGAAGUGUGCUCUCGCAUCAUGGAACUACUAGACACGAAGAACGCGCCUCUGCCAGUGGAUACAGACGUGCAUUGCGCUGCGGAGUGUCUACUGACGUUUCUCAAGAGCCUGCUCGAGCCGGUAGUGCCCUAUGCGCAGUACACCGCCGCCCUCGCCGCGGGACGCGCCAAGGGCAAGGCCCCGCUGCAGUUCCUGCGUCAGCUGCCGACGAUGCACGCGAACGUGUGGAUCUAUGUCAUGUCUUUGCUGAACUAUCUCCUCAGGCCGGUGCACAGCUGCGACAACGAACUUGACGCGAACUUCUUGGCGCACAUCUUCAGCGCCGUGCUGAUUGUCCGUCCAGCCAAUGCGCAGGGGGCCAUUCCGACUCGGCUCCAGCAGGGCGGCGGCGUUGACCAGCAGGUGCGGCAGCAACUGCAGCAGGAGAGCGACGACGCCCUAGCACUCGUAGCGUACUUUCUCAGCACCCCACCAAGUAUGUUGGCCGGAGUGGAAUAGCACAGCGGACGUGCGCACAGGGAGAAGGGCACCCGACCCCCCCCCUCCCCUCCGGAUGACGGGGAUGGCCGUCAUGCCCGACCCUGGUGGUGGAUACUCCUUGCAUUUUUUGUACGCCUAUGUAUUCAUGUUACCGCUCCCGUCGGGCUCCUGUUGUUGUUUGCUGCUCGUUGGCAGUCUGCAUGUCGGCUGCCCAGCUUCGUCCUUUCCUAUUGUUGUUUGUGUUCGUGUGUGUGUGUGUCUCUUCCCACCGACCGGACCGUCGUCGUCGGCGGUGGACUCUGCGAAGAGGACUGUUGACGGAAAGCGCAGUGCCACUCACCUCUCCGUCUCUUACUCUCUCGUCAACGGUGAUGAUGAUGGCCGUGAUGAAGGCGUUGCUGCUGCUGCUGCUGCCGUUGUUGUUGCUGUCACGUACACCGAUGGCAAAC
rnacentral:misc_RNA from 1 species